CGGGGGCGAGCGCGCCGCGCGAGGGGGCGCCCUGACCCCGCCAGGGGUGCGGAGGGGGCGGGGGCGUAGUGGCCAUCUUGGACUCCGCUCGACCCCGGCUGGUGGCGCGCGACGCUGGUCCGGGCUCGGCGCUGGGGGUCGGGGUACCAGGAAACUUAUGGUGUCUCUCUGGUACUCAUCCACUGGGCGUUCCAUACAGAUCAGGGCAGGUGAUGAACUCAGCGGAGUUGGGCACAACAAGGAGGAUACCAUUUGGUGCCCAUUUAGUUGCUGUGCCUGUUAUGGCUUAGGAAUUACAAAAGCUGAUGAAAUACAGGAUGAAGGGAGUGCUGCUGUAAUCUGGUGUAGCGGAAGGAAUGGCCACCUAGUUUCGCUUUCCAACUACAAACACCAUGGGGAUCUUGUGGUUUAAGGGCCAGACCAAAUGAUUUUGAGGGCCUUAUAUGGCCCGCGGACUGGGUGUUCCCCACUGCUGCAAGGGAUAAAUAAAUCAGGUACCAGGUUAAACAAUCCUAUUAAGAAAUGGGCAAAGGACCUGAACAGACACUUCUCCAAAGAGGACAUACAGAUGGCCAAUAGACAUAUGAAAAAGUACUCAACAUCACUAAUCAUCAGAGAAAUGCAAAUGAAAACCACGAUGAGAUAUUGCCUCACAUCUGCCAGAAUGGCUAUCACCAAUAAAUCAACAAACAGGAAGUACUGGUAAGACUGUGGAGAAAAGGCAACUUUUAUGCACUGUUGGUGGAAUGCAGACUGGUGCAGUCCCUGUGGAAAACAGCAUGGAGUUAAUCUCAAAAAUUUAAAAAUGGAACUGCUUUUUGACCCAAUGAGCCUACUUCUGGGAAUAUAUACUAAGAAUUCUGAAAGAAUAUAUGCACCCCUAUGUUCUUUGCAGUGUUAUUUACAGUAGCCAAGAACUGGAAACAGCCCAAGUGCCCAUCAGUAGAAGAAUGGAUAAAAAUGCUGUGGUUCAUUUACACAAUGGAAUAUUACGCAGCAGGAAAAAAGAACAUCUUUCCUCUUGUGACAGCAUGGAUGGACCUGGAAAUUAUUAUGCUAAGUGAUAUUAGCCAGCCAGAGAAAGACAAAUACCAUAUAAUCUCACUUAUAUGUGGAAUCUAAUGAACAAAAUAUAUUGAUGAACAUUAUAGAAAUAGUCAUGGCUACAUGGAACAGACUCACAGCUGUCAGAGGGGACAGGGAAGACUGGAUGAAAGAACAUGAGGGGAUUAGCCAAAGAACAUACAUGCAUGACACAUAGACACAGACAACAGUGUGGUGAUGGCCAGGGGGAGGGGGUGGGGGGCUGGAUGGAGGUGAACGAUGGGAGGAAGAAAUGGGGACAUCUGUAAUUGUGUCAACAAUAAAAAUAAAGUUAAAAAAAUAAUUACAUAAACCAAGGAAGAUAUAGUAAUUUCAAUCAAAAGGAAACUUGCUACAGGGUUGAGGAAUGCUAUAUAAGGUAUAGGUCUCAAGGAUGUCUCAGUGGAUCUCAGGGUCUCUGAGGGUCUCCCUUUCUUUCCCAUGGUGCCACAAAAGCAGGACAGACAUCAAGACUGCAGUCAAGACAGGGACCCCAGAGAUGCUACUGUGCUUUGUUGAUGAAGUGGUUAGUGGAUUUAUUUAUAUUCCCCAGAGCCAGAAAAGUCAGCAGAUUUCUCUAAGUGAGUCAGUUUUAGUGUCUUCAGAUCUGGAGGUCUGCCGUGCCCAUUGGCUUAAAAUACCAUUGUCCAAAUGUGGAGAGGGGAGCAGAGGCAGCUGCAGGCUGGCCUCAGACAGCAGAGAAAGUGGCCACUUGCUACUGCGGAUGCAACUUUCGUUGGACUUACAAGUGGGUACAGAAAGUGAGAGGCAGUUAAGAUUGUUUAUGGAUAACAGGUUUAAGGAGUCAGGAUGUCCUUUUCCUUUAUUUUUUUCUGAGACUCAUUUACCCAACUAUAUUUUUAUUUUUUUCUGAGACUCCUUUACCCAAUAAUAUUUUUGGAAUGAGAUCUAUGCUUAUUGUAAUUACAUAGGCCAAUUUACUAGGGAAAAGGGUAGAAGGGUCAUCAUAAGCAUUCAAAAUGCCAAAUUGCUGUGUGUGUGUGUGUGUGUGUGUGUGUGUCUGUGUGUGUGACAGAUAUGUAUGUGCUAACAUUUUAUUUUAUUUCAAUAUACAUUUAUUUGAUAAUUAAUAUUAUCUGUAUGGCCUGCUUUACUUACUCAGGAUACAAAUGUGAUUACAUUGCUCUAAUUACCCCCAAAGGAUUAUGUAAGCAUUUAUAGCCAAUCUUAGCAGGAAGUUCAGUAUGUCCCUCUUGAGGCCUCCCAGCAACCCCUAUCUCUGCCUCAUCUGAGAACCUACAGGGUGGAAUUUGUCUGACUUCCAAAUGUUCAGGAAGAAGAUAACUGGAGAGCCGGAUCAGCACCUUCUGCCAGAGGCUACCAAGGGUGUUGCUGUCAAAGGCUGGCUCUGUGCAUUUCAGGUCCUUAUCCUGUGCCUCACACACACUGGCUUGGUGUUUCCAAGCUCAGAAGUUGUGCUCGGUUGGCUGGGUUGUGCUGGCAUUUUAAAUGGCCUUCCCAACUCCUAUGGCACUCACACUGUUUGCUGGGGGUCACACCUUUCUUUUCUAUUUCUUUCAAACAAAAACACAUGUUGUGAUCCGAGCUGGUUACCUUUAUUCUGUUUCUCUUCCCUUUUUCAUUUUAGCUCGCUCAUGUGAUGAAGAGGCUUUUUCUGUCUCCAUUUCCCUACAGAAGGGCAGUUGUCAAUGUUGAUAAAUGUGUAUGACCUUGUAUAGCCUUGUUCAGUGCCUUCCUCCAAAUAAGAUACCUUGUGUCAACCAAGUAAGAUCCAUCUUCAUUAGAAAAGUUGAAUUAGGGGGGAGUAGGGCAGAGAAAAGUCCUAUUGGCUCAGUCUGCCUUGCUGCCACUGGGGCAGGAUAGGCUGGACCACCCCUACUGAGCUGUGUGGCUUUCCAGGAGGAUCACCAAUAUUUCCCAGAUGGGGUUAUUUUGUCAUAAAUGGUCUGUUUGCUAAAAGAAAAAUACCAUUCUGUUUUCAUAACAGCCAUGUCUAGUUUUCUGAAGAUGAUUUACUUUUAUAAGAACCAUGGAUAUGUGGAAUCUAAUGAACAAAAUAAACUGACGAACAACAUAGAACCAGAGGCAUGGAUAUGUGGAUCAGGCUGGCAGAUGUCAGAGGGGAGGAAUGUGAGGAGGACCGGAUAAAAGAAGGUGAAGAGAUUAGCCAAAGAACAUAUAUGUAUGACACGUAG